GACGAACGCUGGCGGCGUGCCUAAUACAUGCAAGUCGAGCGAAGUUUUUCUGGUGCUUGCACCGGAAAAACUUAGCGGCGAACGGGUGAGUCACACGUAAAGAACCUGCCUCAUAGACUGGGCCAACUAUUGGAAACGAUAGCUCAUACCGGAUAAUAGCACUAACUGCAUGGUUGAUGUUUAAAAGUUGGUUUUGCUAACACUAUGCGAUGGCUUUGCGGUGCAUUAGCUAGUUGGUGGGGUAAAGGCCUACCAAGGCGACGAUGCAUAGCCGACCUGUGAGGGGGAUAGGCCACACGAGAACGGGACCACGGCCAAGACUCCUACGGGAGGCAGCAGUCGGGAAUCGUACGCAAUGGGCGAGAGCCUGACGGAGCAGCGCGGCGUGAGUGAAGAAGGAUUUCGGUUCGUAAAGAUGUGUUGUUAGGGAAGAAUGAUUGUGUAGUAACUAUACACAGGAGAGACGGUACCUAAUCAGAAAGCCACGGCUAACUACGUG
rnacentral:rRNA from 1 species